rnacentral:rRNA from 1 species
UGGCGGACGGGUGAGUAACGCGUGGGUAACCUGCCUCAUACAGGGGGAUAACAGUUGGAAACGGCUGCUAAUACCGCAUAAGCGCACAGUACCGCAUGGUACGGUGUGAAAAACUCCGGUGGUGUGAGAUGGACCCGCGUCUGAUUAGGUAGUUGGUGGGGUAACGGCCUACCAAGGCGACGAUCAGUAGCCGACCUGAGAGGGUGACCGGCCACAUUGGGACUGAGACACGGCCCAA